rnacentral:rRNA from 1 species
UACAGGGGGUGCAAACGUUGCUCGGAAUCAUUGGGCGUAAAGCGCACGUAGGCGGUUCGUUAUGUCGGAUGUGAAAGCCCUUGGCUUAACCGAGGAAGUGCAUCCGAAACUGGCGAGCUAGAGUACGAAAGAGGAUCGCGGAAUUCCCGGUAUAGAGGUGAAAUUCGUAGAUAUCGGGAGGAACACCGGUGGCGAAGGCGGCGAUCUGGGUCGAUACUGACGCUGAGGUGCGAAAGCGUGGGGAGCAAACAGG